CUGAGAUAAAAAUUGCCUUCAUUACAUAGAGUUCAAUUUAUGACCUCCAUACAAUGUGCAAAAAAAUAAAUAAAAAAAUAUGGAAAAUGAACUAUGUUCAUAUAAAGAAUUUCCUUUACAAAUACAGUGUUUGGAGAGAAUGCACUAAGCAAUAAUUCCAUCAUUCUCAUUUCAUUCGAAAUGUUUGUAAAUUCCAACUCCCAUGCUCUCUGGGAAAUGUAGCUGGGUUGCUGGGCUUGCAAUGUUGGCUAUCACUGCUCAAAUUUAUUUUAAAGCAGAGCCAUAUAGUACUACUAUAAUGACACAAAAUGUAUACACUUGUUAUUGAGUUUACAGGAUCUAUAGCAUUGAUGGCUUUACCUUGACACCAUAAAUUGUUUCUGGACUACAUUUCCCAUGAUGCUCAGCUAGCUUUUACAGUCUAAAUGCUAGCUGUCAAGGUUAGCCAUCACUGAUAGUCUAAAAUAUAUUUCAUAUCUCAUAAGUUCUCACACAUAGUAUUCCUCUUUAAUUCUUACAGAACCUUAUGUUCUAGCUUUUCAAAUGGGUACUGCAGACAGAAUUUUUUUUUUUUUGGGUGUGUGUAAAAUGCUGUUUUCGAUAACUCCAUUUUAAUACAAAGUUAUCACAUAGUUUCUUCUAUAUAAGAAUGUCUGUCUGCCUUCAAAUAAUUGUUUUGAUAUGUUAAGAAUAUGUAUAAAAAGAAAAAGAAUAUACCGCACUCUCACUUGAAUGAUGCUUAUAGAUAAUUUGUAUGUUUAUUUUUUUUAGUACUGAAAAAAAUAAACAUGUCACCCUUGCCAACAAAGUAAAUCCUACAGUGGAAUAAUAAAGUGUGCCUACAUAUUUGUUGGAAUAUCUACACUUGUCAGCCACAGAAAAAUAUAAUGCAAAUAAAGAAAAAAAAUCAACCAAAAAAAAUCACAUGAAUACAAUUAGUAUACCCCAUAAAGGAAGCCUGCGAUCAGUAAGCUCGUGAAUACCACACAAUCUGCAUGUAAUGAGAGUAGAAAGAAAAAA